rnacentral:rRNA from 1 species
CUCCGGUAGUCAUAUGCUUCGUUCAAGGGCUAAGCCAUGCAUGUCUCAGCGCAAGCAAUCACUGAAAGCAGGUCUGUGAAUGGCUCCUUACAACAGCAGUCGUCUCUGUGAUGGAGUGAGGUUGGCAGCAAAUCCAGCAGCCCAAUUGGACAUCCUCCAAAACUUGGUGGCUAAUACACGUCUGAAACUGUCUGCCAAAGCAGAUGGCUCAUCACAGCGAAUCAUUUCACUGAAGCCAUCUUGGUGGAUUGCAACCAGUUGCCUGGAAGACUGGCACCCGUCAAGGGUAGUGCUACCAAUGUGUGCUGAACCAGACUGGUCUCAAAGUGGACAAUUGCUCUGGCAGGGCCAGUUAUGAAAGGCAACAAUUACGGCUGGCUGAUCUCUUCGAGAGACUGCAAGAUCACAUGAACUUCUGACCUAUCAGCUUUGACUGUGGUGUCGUGGACCACAGUGGCUACAACGGGUAACGGAGAAUCAGGGUUCGAUUCCGGAGAGGGAGCCCGAGAAAUGGCUACCACUGCUAAGGCGGGCAGCAGGCGCGCAAAUUGCCCAAUACAGAAACCUCUUGUGAGGCAGCGACGAACUGCAGCAAUUCUGCUGGUUUUUCCAGCAGAACUUGUGAUGGAUGCUAUCCAAAACCAGCGAUGAGUAGCAACUGGAGGGCAAGUCUGGUGCCAGCAGCUGCGGUAAUUCCAGCUCCAAGGGCGUAUACUGACAUUGCUGCUGUUAAAACGCUUGUAGUCAACCACUGGGUUGCAGGUCUGUCAGGGGCCAGUCUGAAGCUCCUCGUUGGCCUCAGCUGGGUCAACACCCUUGGCAGAAUGCCCUGCUCCCGAUUUACAAUCCUGUUGGUGCGACUUGCUCCUGCGCAAAGCCUCCUUCAGUGGGGGUUGAGGCUGUGUUCACACCAAGCGUUUGUUUGGGCCCAGGUCACUCUGGCAGUUCUACCAUGGCCCACAACCGGAGCCCACCGGCAGAGCCUCCCUGGAAAACUCAGUGUGCAUAAAGCAUCCAGUUUGCUGGCUGGAUGCCACUCCAUGGAACGGCAAAGCAUCGACCAAAUGUGGCAGAGGAGUUGUGCCAGGCCUUGGUGCCCAGACUGGACAAUCUGGAGCUGUUGCCUUGGCUGGAAGCCCAGUCACCCUCGGGUGUCGGGGAUCACUUUCAGACCAAGUGGCAGUAUCCAACCGGAGAUGAUGGGAGUGCUCAGGGUGUAAGGUACUGCAGCGCCAGAGGUGAAAUUCUCAGACCGCUGCAAGACGACCGGCAGCGAAGGCGUUAUGCAAGGGCCUGUCUGUCGAUCAAGAACGAAAGUGCUGGGAGCGAAGAUGAUCAGACACCGUUGUAGUCGGCAACAGUCAACUAUSCCAGCUCAGUCCUGGCAGGGCAAGUUAUUGGCAACCCUGGCAGGGCUAAAACCCCUUCAACGRRAAAUCCCCAAGCCWUUGGUUCRGGGGGGAGUACUGUCGCAAGGCUGGAACUUAAAGGAAUUGACGGAAUGGCACCACAAGGSGUGGAGWWWSSGGSUUAAUUUGAYUYAAMMCGGGAAACGUUHCCVGGYCCYGMCCAAGWGGMAGAUUGACAGCUCUUUCUUGAUCCUUGGGACGGUGGUGCAUGGCGCUCCUGAUCGGUGGAGUGAUUUGUCUGGUUGAUUCCGAUAACGGGUGAGAUCUCUGCCUCCACACUAGCGCUGGCCUCGUCGUGUAGGAGUGGCAACCACUUGCAGCUGGGUGGCUUGCUGCCCAUGUUGUGUGUGGAUUGCUCUCUGAGAGUGCCAUUUGGCUGCUUCUCUGAGGUGCUGCGCAAGCUCCAAUUGCGUGCAAGCUAGAGCCAACAGCAGGUCUGUGAUGCUCCCAGAUGUCCUGGGCUGCACGCGCACUACAAUGCUCCAGUGAACGUGUUCAAGCUCCCUUGUGGAGACCUGCUCAGAAGUGAGUGGGAAAUCAUGUGAGCCUGAGGGCGUGCUUGGGAUAGAUGAUUGCAACUGUCUGCCUUGAACCAGGAAUGCCUAGUAGUUGCAUGUCAACAGCAUGCAGCGAUUGUGUCCCUGCCAUUUGUACACACCGCCCGUCGUUGCUACCGAUGGGAGCUGGAUAGAGUCCUCCUGAGCAAAGCUUGUGCUGGUGGGCAACGUUGGCCAUGCCACAACCGAAGUUGGACAAUGUCCUGUUCCUAGAGGAAGCAAAGUCGUAACAAGGUUGUUGKAGGUGACYU